UAUGAAGAACGUAGCGAAAUGCGAUACUUGGUGUGAAUUGCAGAAUCCCGUGAACCAUCGAGUCUUUGAACGCAAGUUGCGCCCGAAGCCAUCAGGUUGAGGGCACGUCUGCCUGGGCGUCACAUAUCGUUGCCCAAUGCCUAUUGCAGUGCAAUAGGAAUUUCUAGGGCGAAUGAUGGCUUCCCGUGAGCGUUGUUGCCUCGCGGUUGGUUGAAAAUCGAGUCCUUGGUAGGGUGUGCCAUGGUAGAUGGUGGUCGAGUUAGAACGAUACCGAUCAUGUGCAUGCUCCCCAAAAUAUGGCCUCUAUGACCCACACGCGUCUUUUGACGCUCAUGACGAGACCUCAGGUCAGGCGGGGCUACCCGCUGAAUUUAAGCAUAUCAAUAAGAGGAGGA
rnacentral:misc_RNA from 1 species